AUUCUAAAAGCCCUGCUCUCUUUCUCAACUCUAAAAUUUUACCACCUAGUUCGCUCACGACGAUCGCCAUUUUCCAGUUGUCCAAGCUGGUUGCCGAUCUCCCACAUCCAGUCAAUGGUGAAUCUCUUCCAAUUUUUGCAAGAAUGGCGUCGAAGUGGUAGCUAUAGAAGAUAACUUUGUCACACCGAUACAACAUUCAGGAGGAAGAGCACGUUUAGGCCCAAAUAGAGAACGGAUAACUUGUAGUGAUCUUGAGAAGUGAAAUGUGCCAACUGUAACGCUCAUUACAAGCUUGGGUUGGUACUAACUAUUGAAGGAAUUUUCAAUUCGAGAGUCCGAAAUAUAGGGAUUUAUCCUGAAACUCUCUUUAUUGUAGACGAAUUAGAUUUCUUCAAUGCCUACCCACGGGGGACAGUGUGCCUUAUACUUCUUAUCAAAUCACUGCUCCGUGGAUGGGAGAGAAAGGCGACUUGGCAAAGGUUAACAAUUGUGUUAGGAUAUCCUACACGUUGUGGGGAUUCCCUCUUGCUAUUUAGUUGUAGGUGUACGAGGUAAUCUCAAAGAUGAGAGCUCGAUUAACGAGCAAGAUUAGUGAUGGCCUUUUGAGGUUGUUGUGGUGAUCUACCACAAGACAACCUCAAUCGAGAACAUAUUCAGAUUUUUUCGACAAGACGCUUUUACAUUUGUGGGUAACUUUGCUCCAUACCGCUGAAGAAGAAUUUCAGUCAUACUUUGCUACUUUACUUCUAUUGGACGAUGUUGCUGACCCUGUUCUCGACAAUCUCGUCUUUCAAUCAACUGAAAUACAAGAUUGCUUACUAGAAAGCAAAGUGAUACGCAAUGGGGAGAAUAGCAACCGAUGCAACAAAUCCAGGAGAGCUAACACAUGUGGGAUUCAUCUUUGGGAUUUCAGUGAUACUGAAGGUAGAGAAGAAGAGCAUUGCAAUCCAGUCUAGGACUUUCCAUCCACUUAUGGCUUGGAAAAUCGCGAACCAUGUAUAUAGAUGAGAUAAAGCCAUGUUGACUGAAAUGCAAGGUUCAAUCGUAUUGAGUAGAAAAUGGGGGAUCACGUGUGUAACAUGAAGGAGCAUGUGACUGAUUAGAUAAGUGUGAUCAAAUGCAAGUUCGAGGAUGUGGUUACAAAAAUUGGGAAACAAUAUGUGCAUGAAGAGUAUGGUGUAUUUGGUUGUGCUAACGAUGAUGGAGAUAUGUAUGUACUUGAUUACUAUGAUGAUUUGUUGUCUUCUAACACUACAAUUGACGAAUAGCAUGUCGAGGCAACAAAAGUAAAUGCUAUCAACGUUGAUGCAACCUAACUAGAUGUUGGAAACGUGGAUGAGUUGUCCAAAAAGUGCAGAUGUUAUUUCUACAAAUGCUCUACUGCCACCUCGAUCUCCAUUCCUCGGGGUGAAGCUGCCAAGUGCUAGCACUCAGACUUCUUUCACAUUGUCGUAAGAAAGGUGUGUAGUUAGUUCAAAAUGUUGGUAGAGCAUGGUAUUGUGCAUUUGGGAAAGCAUUUAUAACAUCAUUUUGUAUACCAUCGCAAGGUAGAUUGUUUGGUUGAUGGAAUAGUUCUCAUUGUUGAUGUGGAAUUAAAUUGGAGACGAGUAUUUAUUUUAGUCUA